rnacentral:ncRNA from 1 species
CUUAUCAAGAGAGACUGAGGGACAGGCCCUGUGACGUCCGGCAACCCCCGAUUGGGAAGGUGCCAAAUCCAACGGAACCCAAUGUUCCGAAAGAUAAG